AGCGACGACAGAGGCAGCGUUUGUGAGCAGCGACAGCGGCAGCGGGAGCAGGAGCGGCGAGCAGCGGGAGGCGCGAGCGGUGACAGAGGCAGCGUUUGCGAGCAGCGACAGCGGCGAGCGGUGACAACGGAAACGUUUGCGAGCAGCGAGAUCGGGAUCGGGAUCGGGAGCGGCAGCGGCGAGGGUUAGGGUUGGGUUCUCACUUAUAUCGAUUUUAGUUGGUUCGAUUAAACCAACUAACCAUCAGAGACCGAACCAGGACCGAACCAGACCUAAAAUCCUGGUUCGGUCGCCUUGGUUAACCCAGGCGCUCGCCCGAAGCGCCCAGCGCCUGGGCUCGGGCGAGCGCCCAGGCAGCGCCUGUUUGAAGCGUGCCGCUUGGGAGAUUAGCGAGGCGCUCGGGCCUCGUCUCGCCUCGCCCGAGCGCCUAGGCGAGCGCCUUUUUAAAUCACUGCUCUGGAUGGACCGGCAUGGGUCUGGUACAUGCUGGUGUACUGAUAUACGAUACACUGAUAGGUGCUGCAUAACUUUUUUUUAAAGAUUCAAGUAUAUAUGAUACUGGGAGGCACAUGCAAUGGUCUGUGCUGCCAUUACGUGCCGGUCUGGACAAAAUGUAGAACCAUGGUUUCAACACAAAUCUCUCUCUGGUAAAGCCUCAAGGCUGUAUGCAGAAAUCUGGUAAGCUGUAAAGAGGAAAAGGAGACAAAUUUAUGUUUGUUUUUGUACCACCACUUCUGGUCAUUUAAAUUUUGUUGGACAGUAUACAUUUAUGUUUGUUUUUGUUCCACCACUUCUGGUCAUUUAAAUUUUGUUGGACAGUAUACAUCUUUAUUAAUUUAACACUACAAAUCUAUUUUUUUAGUAUUAUUUUUUCUUCUGUGAGGAACUACCAUAUGUAAUCUUCACCUGGGAACUUUGUUUUUUGACAUAAACUAUUAAUUUUUGGAGUGAUUUUGUCAUUUACUUUCCGAUCUGUUUACUUCUCCAUGGUUUCUUUGUUUGUACUCCUGCUUUUUUAAUCUUCUAAAAUCUAAAGGACACUUUCUAUAUUGAAGACAAUUUAAAAUUUUGAAGAAUAGUAUGUCAUUGGAAAGCAACUUGAGUGACCAUGAUUCUGAUGGAAAUAGCUGCUUCUCCACUUAAGUUGCAUUGGUUGACCGUUCCCAAAUGCCGAAUUCGCCAGUGUUUCAUGCACUAGGGUGCCUUUGAACUACAUGAGGAAAUAACGUUAUAUCCCUUGAAAGUGUUGAGCAUUUGCAAAAAAUUCUUAAUGAAUGUUUGGUUAGUGGUGUAAUUAAAUUAUUUGAAAAUUUUACUCCUCACAGUUGAAAGAAUUUCCUUACAUGUUACAGCGUAGUCAAUACAAUUUUUUCUAAAUAUAAUAAGGGUGAUUGCCUUAUUCUUGUUUUCUUCUUUAGUUGUACCUAGAAACCAUACAAGAUCUGCUGGCACCAGAGAAAACUAACAUCCCUGUAGUUGAGGAUCCAAAGACUGGUGAGGUGUCCCUGCCUGGUUCUGCAAUUGUUCAGAUAAAAGAUCUUAAUCAAUUCUUGGAGCUGUUGCAAGUUGGUGAAGCAAACCGCCAUGCUGCGAAUACUAAGCUAAAUACUGAAUCAUCUCGAAGUCAUGCAGUACUAGUGGUGGGUGCAACUCCUGUAAUAGUUUUUGUUGUCUAGUUCUGUUUUAUCUUUAUUUCUUUCAUGAUAUAAUUUAUUGCAGUUGUAUAUUUUUUGUUUCUACUCCCAUCUUUUAUUAUUUCAAGGUUAGAAUUUUUUUAAUUGUCUAUGUUUGCAUUAUUAUUUGAUCAGAGUUAUCUUCUGCCUAUCCUUGCUUUUUGACAUGUAUCUAGGUCCAUAUUAAUAGAUCUUUGGAAGGAAAAAAGGAAAAUGAUGCCUCCUCCCUGGCUAAUGUUACAAAUAGUGAGCUAUCUUCUCACCAUUUACCACAUCUUUUGAAAAGCAAGUUGCUGAUUGUUGACCUUGCAGGAUCAGAAAGAAUAGAUAAAUCAGGUAUGCUUAUAUUGAUACAUUUUUUUUAAUAUUAUUUCCUUCUUUCAUGUGCAAUAUUAUGAUAUAGAUGAUUUAGUGGCAGGAUCAGGGUUCAUAUGCUAGAAUCAUGGCUUUUAUGCAAUUACGAAGAUGUGAUGCUGUCAAGUGUUUACCCAAAUGAUUCAGAAUAUUUUCUAAUUUCAUCGGGAACUUAGCUUUAAUCACAGGCUCUACUCUGAUGACAACCAUUAAAUCGAACUAGAUUGUUCAAGUCCACUAAUGUUGAGAACGUUGCAUUACUGGCUUUAAGCAUGGUACUAAACUUUGGCCUUAGCUUGGCCAAGGCUACUCUCAAAUGUUUCAGUUGCAUCAACAGGCUUUUUGGAAUGUAAUUGUUGAACCAUACUUCAGGCUCUGUACUCAUAAACAAAUCAUUAAGGUUCGCAUCAUUGGUCCCUGUAAGCUUAAUAAUGGCACGGAGAACUGCUUGGCUUCCAAUGAGUAAAAUCUCCAUUGGGAAGUGAGAGCGUCCUCUUGCUAUGUGAUAUUCCAUCAAUGCAUGGCAUUAAACUUGACUAAGUGGAAGGUUGAGAUAAAGCAUCCAUUAAGUCUUAGAAAUUUAAAUAUUGUGAGUUGACAAAAUUUGAGAAAACUAAAUAAUCCAGAAUGAAGUUGGUAAAUGAAGUAACGUACUUUAUCUGCAAAUGAUCUUUGUCAAGAGUUGAUGGAUUAGCUCAAUCGAAGUUUCCUUUACGUACUUUAAUUUGAACAUUUAUGCUGGUUGAUGAUCUAGUUUAUACCCAUUAUGUUUCAGGUUAUGAUUCGAGAGAUAUUAGUCUGAUAAUUAAAAGUUCUGAGAAGUCAUUAGCAGCUUACAUCACAUCUCUUCACUAUGCCAAUCAAAUUUUGUAGGCAUUGAAGGCCACAUGAUUGAGGAGACUAAAUUUAUUAAUCUUUCGCUGACUUCCUUGGGGAAAUGCAUUAAUGCACUAGCUGAGAACAGUCCUUAUAUACCAACAAGAGAGUCCAAGCUCACGAGGUUGCUUCGUGAUUCAUUUGGAGGUGAUUUUAUCUACCUUUUGCUUCUGAAUUGAUUUGUUAUUAUUUUUUCUUUUAAUCUCUUAGAAUCAAAUGUCAGCACUUUUCUUUUUAGUGGCAGAGACUUUCUGUAUCGCAUUGUGCUUUUCAUUCUGGAUUGUUUCUGUUUGGUAUUUGUGUACCACUCUCCUAAUGUUUUAUGAUUCACUAGUUAUUGUGUUUCCAUAAUGAACGGAACCAGUAGAUGUUUGUGUGAUGAAAAUGAUGACAAAUGUUGCUGUUACUUGUUUUGUUCUAUAAGAGUUCAUUUUGCUUUGUAAAUGAAGUUUACAUGUGAUCUUAUUUUAACCUCUAUUUGUAGGCACUGCACGGACAUCUCUCAUAGUUACGGUUGGUCCAUCAGCACGAUACUAUUCUGAAACAGCAAGUACAAUAAUGUUUGGACAGAGGGUUAGUAUUGUUGAAAAACAAUGGAAAGAGUUAUAGUUGUGUGUAGCAUAUGCAUAUUUAUGGAAGAUAGUGUUCUUAUCUGUCUUCUUCUAAAAGUUUCAGGUUCAACCUUCUAGACUGUUUGUUCAAUUUUUGUAUGUAGUUUUAAGUGCAUUAUCUUAUUUAACAUGACAGAAACAUAACAAAAGAUCGUCUUCCACUUUAUUGUAUACCCUUUCAUCCAGUUUUAUCGAGGCUAACUUCUGCUUGUUCCAAUAAAUGGAUGGAAGGUAUAUUUUGGCAAAUAUUAAAAUGUGUCCUUUUUUAAAAUGUUAAAUGUUACUCCACAGAAACAGCAUCUUCAUGAAUUAUUUAAAUACACACCAUGUUUUUACUUAAGAUGAAAUCAUCUGAUGCCCUAAGUAAGCCUUUCCAAAUGCUUAUUAUAAGAAAUACUAUUAGGGCACCUAGGUGGUUCACCUGGGUCAGAUUGGGUGCCUGGUGCCUGAGGCUUGCUUUUUCUCUUAUGCAGUCGCUAGUUACAAAUAAUUAUUACCAAGGAGUGAUGGGAUUUGACUUAGAAAAUUAGGAAAAAAAAUAUUUAUCAUUUUGACUAAUGCAACAAGUGCGAAUUUUUUGGCAAUUACUAGAUUGGUUGCUCCAAUAUUCUUUAUUGUGGUUUUAUUUUAUCUUCUAAUUUUAUGUAUGUUUGUCAUUUGAGUAAUACCUCCUGUUAAAACACCAUUAAAUGAAACAUUGAGGUGAAGAUUUAACAAGUUUUUGGAUUCUUGUUCAAAUGUUCAGUAUGAGCCAGUGACUAUCAAGAACAUCUUUUCUCUAUUGAUAAGUUAAUGCAGUAGAUCAUAUGGUAUUUUAUAUAAUAUUUUUGGGAAAUAUAAAAUGUUUAAAGUGCUUGUAAAUUUUAUAUAUUAUUUUUAUGAUAUUUUUCCCUAGAAGCCUGCUUGUGCACAUGGCCUAAAAGCUUUAAGAGUUCACUGCCCAUGCCUUUUGACUUUUGACAAUCUUGAAUUAACAAUGCUAGCAAGAUACGUGCUGAUACACCUUUCAAGUUUCACACACAUUUAGAGAGAGAGGUUUCAGCUUCAAGAAGGCUAAUCAUAUCUUGAUGUGAGGAGAUGAAUGGUUACUGUGAUAGAACCCUUGCAGAUUCUAAACUUGGGGUUGAUCUCUUUAGGGGAUUGGUCUCCUUGGAACUUUAUAGGGGUUUCUCCCUCCAAGUUGCUACUCAAAGGUUAUAGAAAAGAUUCAUCUAUUGCUUUUGAAAAGAGAAGGAAUACAUGGCUAUUUAUAGAGCUUCUAAACCCUAACUCCUAAUAGGACUCCUACUCGAGACUCCUACUUCUAACCAACUCCUAAUAGGACUCCUACUCAAGACUCAUAUUCCUUUACAACUCCUAAUUCUUCUCUAAGAAACAACCUCCUAACCCUAGCCGGCCUCUUCACCUCUUUAAUAGGGGUCAGCUUAGAUAGGUUUUAUAUGAAUAUCCCUCUCAAUUAGGACUCUCCUAGCUAGAGUCCUAACAGACCCGCCCUCUUCAAAUCAGCCUUGUCCUCGAGGCUGACGAUUCAUAAAUUCUGGGAAUUUGAUCUUUAAGUAGUUAUAGUUCUCCCAAGUGGCAUCUUCUGUUGGUCGGUUCGCCCACUGUAUUAGCACUUCAGUAGUGGGUCGUCGUCGUCGAGUCACGAUCCGUCGAUCAAUAAUGGCACUUGGCUGGGUUUGGAGUUCUUCUUGGGUAGUCAUAUUUGGUGGGUGGCUUUGAGUUGUCUCCAAGCACCUAUUUACAACUUCCGUCUAAUCAUUGGUUUGUGGGUGAUAUGUCGUACUCCUUUUCAAUUUAGUACCCUGUAUAUGAAAUAACUUUGUCCAAAAUCUGCUCGUGAAGAUGCAAGUAGAAUUUGUCACAAGCACAAUCCGUCCCUUAUAGCGUAAUUCUUUUGAGUUCCAAUUGUAAUGAGCCACGGAGCUUGGUGCUUCCUCCAAUUUUUUUAUGAUCUUACUGGUCUCCGGAUCUUCCUGCUAUUCCCUCUUAAUAUCCUUAAGGAAGUCACUAGUUGAAAGUGAAAUGACCAAAAAUUCAGCUUGCUUUGGAAGCCAUAAAAGCGCAUAUGCAACAAUAUUCUCUUUCCCUUUUUUGUAAGUUAUUUCAUAAUCAUAUACAAGAAGCUUUAUUACCCAUUUUUGUUGCUCGGGAGAAGAUAUCUUCUGCUCCAAGAAAUAUUUUAGGCUUUUAUGGUUGUUCUUGAUUUGAAAGCGUCACCCGAUCAAGUACGAUCUCUAUUUGGCCACCGCAUGUACAAUCGUGAGCAUCUCCUUGUCAUAAAUAGUCAUUUUGAGAUGGGAAGGAGAUAAUGCCUUACUGGUAUAAGCGAGGGGGCGGCCAUCUUGCAUUAGUACAACACCAAUUCCGACACCAGAGGCAUCAGCUUCAAUAACGAAAGUCUUGCCGAAGUCGAGUAGCGCUAGUACGGGCGUUGUCGUCAUUACGACUUUAAGUUUGUUGAAGGCAGUGGUGGCUUUGUCUAACCAUUGGAAAACAUCUUUGUUCAGCAAGGAAGUAAUUGGUGCACUGAUCUUUUCAUCGUUUUUUAUGAACUUGCGGUAGUAGCCUAUUAAACCGAGAAAGCCACGUAGCAAUUUUAUUUUCCUCAAGGUCGACCAGUUCUGCAUUACUCCAAUUUUGGAGGGGUACACUGCCACACCUUCCUCUGAUAUGAUAUGCCCAAGAUAUUCCACCUUCUGUUGAAGAAAACAAAAAUUCGUAGUGGUCGUUGUGUGUUCAAAAGGUGAUUUUUGGUAUGUCUUCUUUGCACACUUGUAUUUGAUGAUACCCGGAUCAAAGGUCCAGCUUUGUGAAGAUUUGUGCUCUCUUUCAUCUAGCAAUUCAUCGACUAUUGGAAUAAGGUAUUUGUUCUUGAUGGUUAUGCCAUUGAGAGCUCGGUAAUCAACAUACAAUCGCCAUGCUCUGUCUUUCUUUCGUACGAGGAGCACCGGUGAAGAGUAGGGGCUACAACUUGGUCGAAUAACUCUUGUUUCGAGUAUCUCUUUUACAAUCCUUUCUAUUUCAUCCUUCUGGAGAUGUGGAUACUGAUAUGACUGCGUAUUUGUUGGAGGUUUGCCUGGAAGAAUCGUUAUACAAUGAUCAUGCCGAUGGGUAAAAGGUAGGUUGCGCGGUUCGUCAAAUAUAUUUGAAAAUUCAGCAAGCAAAGGAAGUAGGUUUGGAUCUUCAAAUUCUAUUGGCUCUCCCUUAGUUUGCUACUCAAGUUGUACCAAAAUGCCGCUGCAUGCUUUAUACAAAACCUUCUCCAUUUGUUGUGUACAAAUUGUCGUUACGUCGCCCCCACGUUUCCCGUGCAAUAUCAUAUGUUUCUCCUUACUGUAAAAUUUCAUAAUUAGUUUCAUAAAAUUUCAAGAAACAUCACCUAAUGUCGUCAACCAUUUAAUUCUGAGCAUGGCCUCAUGAUCAUCAAUAGGGAGGAGGAAGAAAUAUGCAAUUAUCUCUUGGUCCUGCAGCAAUAGUUUCACCCGCGGGCGCCUAUGAUUAUACUUCAAAAUCCAUUCGUCGGCGACCUUAACGUCAAACUUGCUGCAAUUCUCGAUAGGUAAGGCCAUCCGGACAUCAACCUUACUGUUUAAAAAGUUAUUAGUGCUGCCCGUGUCGAUGAGAACAGUGAUCGGUUGUUGUUUGAGAAGGCCUCCAACUUUCAUCAUUUGCGGGUUUGAGUAGCCGGCUAGUGCAUGUACUGUAACUUCGGUCGGUUGUGGCUCUUCUUCUACAUCUUCUUCUUCAUGUUCAAGGCUCUCUUCUAGAUGUUCAAUGACUUCUUCUUCUACUGGUUCAAUCAUAAGAAGUCUCCUUUUACUACAGCGAUGCUCACGGCUCCACGGCUCGUCGCAAUGCCAACAUAACCCCUUCGCAGAUUGCUCCCGAAGUUCUUCUCUUGUCAAACCUUUUGGUGCAAGGACUCUGUUGAUAGUAGGGGGGCUGAGGGCUUCGGUAUUACUGGUUGGGGAGCAACCCUAGUCCUCCGGGCUUCAUGAUUCAAUUGCUCCUCUUGAAAUCAUGCGAAAGAGAUGGCUGCCAUAAGCGUGUAUGGUUGUCGCGCUUUAACUUCUCCCCGGAUCUUCGGUUUCAAGCCCUCAAUGAAGGUCCCCAAUAGUUGUUUUUGAGACCAAUCAUGAGUUUGAUUAGAUAACCUUUCAAACAUGGUUUGGUACUCUUGAAUGGUGGAGGUUUGUCGGAUCUUUGCUAGUUGUCCGUCAAUGUUCUCGUAAUCGGUUGGUCUGAAGCGGAUCAACAGUCCUUCUUUGAAUUGUCGCUAUGAGAGGACUCCAUGAGUGUGUUCAAACCAGUCAAACCAGUGUAUGGCAUCCCCUUCAAGAUGUAUAGUUGCAAUUUUCACCAUAGAUGCGUUCGCGGUUUUGUGGUACCGAAAAUAUCGCUCCGCGCGCGAGAUCCAACCAAUCGGGUAUCCUUCUUCCCAUCUAGGGAAGUCCACCCUCAUGCGUGGAUAGUUGGGGUCGGUCAUAGAGCCUCCCCUCCCUUGGAAGUCAUCUCUUCGGGCUUUGUGCGAUUGGGCAGAGCUCUCUCCUUGAUGUGAUUUCUUCAGGCUUGGUGGUCGGCCCAAUCUGAGUUCGGUAAAGAGCGUCCGAAUCUUAUCCUUUAUUCGCGUCUCGAAGGCUAUGAAUUUAACAUUGAUUGCCUCCUCAAAUGCCAUAGUAUAUGCCGCCAAAUCUGUGAUGUUAAGAUCUCUCUUUUGUUGUCGGGUUAAAGGCAUGUAUAGGUUGAGAGAAUUGAUGGUCGAAAGGGUUGGUGGAUUGGUGGAUGUAGGCUGCGGUUUAGGCUUGUUUUGUGGCUGUUUUGGGUGCAGUUUGAGGGUGUGGUUUGGUGGAGUUAUAGGGCUGUGGAUGAAAGUUUUGGAUCUGUGGUAGAUGACAGCAAAGUUUUGAUAGAAAUCAGUGGAAGUUGCUGCAAGUAUGUGCUGUGUUAUAAGAGCAGAAUUGUUGUCGAAGAAAUAGCGGUUUCUCGAUGAAAUUUUCACCAAAAACUUGAGAGAUUUGAGGAGGGAAUUGACAGCAAAAUCUCAGUUUAUAUGACAGCAAGGAUGUCCAAUUUAAUCAAGAAAAUUUCGGCAGUAUAACAGUAAGGAAAUUGGUGCAAGUUGCGAUAGCAGAAUUCACGUCGAAAAAUUUCAGCGGUUUGCGACGAAAAUUUGCAGCAACACAAAAUCGUUUUUAGAGAUGAAUUCCUCAAUAGAUCAAUCUUAGAUGGAAGCCUAGAUGAUCUAUGAAGUGUAUAAGAAAUUUCGUUAAAAAAGGAUUGCAAAUAGAUCGGUUAAGGCAACAAUAUGUGGCUGAAAUUUUUUGCAGAUUUUCAAGUAUAGCAGAUUAAACAUAAAAGAUCAGUGGUUUAUAUUAAGAAAUUUUCAACGAAACCAAAGGGAAAUCCACUGUAGGAAGUGUCAAAUCUAUCAUAAAAAUUUCGUAGAGAUUUGGACAGAAAAAACGUAGUAGCAAGAUCAAACAAACUGUGCUAUGCAGUUGAAAUUUUAUAUUGCAGAUUUUCAAGUAUAGCAGUUUAGACGUAAAAGAUCAAUGGUUUAUAUUAAGAAUUUUUUGACAAAACCAAAGGGAAAUCUGCUGUUAGGAAGUGUCAAAGCUGUCAUAAAAAUUUCGUAGAGAUUUGGAUAGAAAAAACGUAGUAGCAAGAUCAAACAGACUGUGCUAUGUGGCUGGAAUUCUGCAAUGUAUCUUUUGUCAUAGAGAUGAAAACUUUGCGACGAAAAGUUUAUGCAGUAAUAUAGGAACAAUUUUUUUUUGGAUUUUCGAAUAUGGAUAACUAAAUUGCAGCAACAGUAAGGUAGGAGACCAGAACCUGUUGUAAUUCACGGGAAGAUCAAAGGAUGAUCCGCGGUGGUGGAGAUGAUGGCGAAAUUUGGCGACGAUCUUUUAAGCAAUUGUGAGAAUUGCUUUGGGCGGCUGUGGAGGGAUGAUGGAUGGCUGUGGAAGGGCAGCGAGACGCCAAGAACGCUGCUCUGAUACCAGGUGAUAGAACUCGUGCAGAUUCUAAACUUAGGGUUGAUCUCUUUAGGGGAUCAGCCUCCUUGGAACUCUAUAGGGAUUCCUCCCUCCAAGUUGCUACUCAAAGGCUGCAGAAAAGAUUCAUCUAUUGCUUUUGGAAAGAGGAGGAAUACAUGGCUAUUUAUAGGGCUCCUACUCAAGACUUCUACUUUUAACAAACUCCUAAUAGGACUCCUUCUCAAGACUUCUACUUUUAACAAACUCCUAAUAUGACUCCUACUCAAGACUCCUAUUCCUUUACAACUCCUAAUUUUUCUCUAAGAAACAACCCCCUAACCCUAGCCGUCCUCUUCACCUCUUUAAUAAGGGUCGGCUUAGGUAGGUUUUACUUGAAUGUCCCUCUCAAUUAGGACUCUCCUAGCUAGAGUCCUAAAAUACUAUCAGUGUUAUUAUGUUGAAUCGACUUUAGUGAUACCUUUUGUAUUAUUUUGUUAUCAUUCUUACAUGAAUAUGUUGAUAUAAUGCAUCUGUGCUUACAUAUAUAUCAUGCUUAAAGAAAUUUGUGGACCAAUGUAACUACUUUCUUAAUGAACUAGUCGUAGAUGCUUUUGCACAUUAUCUAAUACUCUUUUUGCUUCUUGGAAGGUAUCAUCAUAUGUUGAAUCAACUUUAGUGAUACCAUUUAUAUUAUUUUGUUAUCAUUCUUACAUGAAUAUGUUAUAUAUAUCAUGCUUGAAGAAAUUUGUGGACCAAUGUAACUACUUUCUUGAUGAACCUGUUGUAGAUGCUUUUGCACAUUAUCUUAUACUCUUUUUUCUUCUUGGAAUGUAUCAUUGUAUUAUGAACUAAUUUGUGAUUUUUGUGGAUAUGUUCUAUUUUUUUCUAGGGAAAGAUCAAGCAUUACUGUGUAUGAGAUAGUGAACAAAAUGAUUGCUCUCUCUCUCUCUCUCUCUCUCUCUCUCUUGUUGUUAUCUUGGCUCUAUAUAUCCUUUUUUUUCCUCAAUAUUUUCAUAUAGUCAUAUAUUCAUUAUGUAAUAUAUGUUAUUCAUUACUUGUAGUCAAGAAAGGGGGAAAUGGCGUAUUGUUACACGUAGUCCUUUCAAUUUAAUCACCAACAAAAUGCAAUUGUUGUGGAUGUAAUUAAGUUGGCUUACAUGCAAUUGUCAUUCUGAUUCUAGUUUUCUAAUGCACUCUUCAAGAAAUUACACUUAGGAAGAGCUAGUACUUCUUAGUUUUCAAUCGUCAUUAAUAAAUUGACUCGGAUCACAGGAGGCAUGCCAUCUAUUUAAUACUUAACUUCUGUUUAGAAUUGGAUGUGUAUUUACUGAAGUCACAUGCAAUAUAUAUUUCAAAUAACUAUCAUGGUUUAUGUAUCAUUUUUUGGGAGUUUCUUUAUGCAGUUUAUGAUGUCUGCAGGCAAUGAAAGUAGUUAAUGCUGUCAAACUAAAAGAGGAAGUUGAUUAUGAGAGUCUUUGUAGAAAGCUUGAGUACCAUGUGGACUAUUUAACAUCAGAGACCGAUAGACAGCAAAAGCUUAGAGAAAAUGAGAAAGAGCAGUUGGAGAAAAAAUUGAAAGAGAAAGAAGCAUUCUUAGUUGAAACAGAAAAGAAAAUUUCUGUUAAAUGUGAGGUAUCAUUUAUAUCUUUAUUUUGUUUCUGAAAUACAAUUUUCAUUUCUUGUUGUAACAAUUUUGUGUAUGUAGCUAUAUUUUUUGAAAAAGGAAAAAACUAUUUAUUAAGCGUUAAAGUAGGUCAGUGCAACAAAAGUAUGGAUGGGAUUGGAGCCAUGACCUCCCCAAAAUCGAGUAAGACCUCUAACCUCCCAUAUGUUAGCAAGAAUAUGAGCCUCAUAAUUGAGGCUACAGGGGUGUGUAAAGAACAAAACAGUAAGCCUAUGAAGAAGAGCUUUAAUGUCUUCUAUAACAAGCCUAAUGGACCAAGGGGGCACAUUGAGCUCCAAGACAAAAUUGAUUACAUUAGCACAUCAGUACAGAUGCUAAAAUUAGUGAGACCCUCGGCUUCAGCAAAACAAAGACCUCGCAGAAUUGCUAAGGCUUCAGCCAAGAAGGAGGAGGUUUGGCAUGGCUGGCAGCAGCAGCAAUGAUCUUUAGCUUGGAGUCCGUCAAGAUGAACCCUGCUCUGCAAGACCUUUAGAGCAAUCAUAAGAACCAUCACAGAAAAGGGAGAAAGAAGUUGGGGGUGAAGGAUGGUUAGAAGUAGGAAGUGAAGAAUGGCUAGAAGAAGGAGGUGGUGGUAAGGAAAAAGAGAAAGAAAGUGAUUUUGGCAUGUUACAAGUCCCCUCAGGUAGAUUACUAACAGUGCGGUAGGCAAAUGUGGCAGCAAUAGCUUUGCUGAACAAAGAGAAAGGUUCGGUAUGGUGGUUGUGAAACUUAGGAUCCUUUCUGUUUAACCAAAGGAACCAGAGCAUGCUGGCUAUACUGCCCGCAUCUAAUCCACAUGGAUGCAGAGUUACCCAUAUUUGUUCCUUCAUCAAGCCAAGCUCCCUAUUUCCAGUGGUUAAACAGUUUAAAGUAAACUCCCAGAUGAUUUUGAAUCAAAUUCCAAACAACAUUGAUGAAAGGACAAUAAAAAAAGAUGCAAGGGUGAGAAUCCGAAACAAGUUGACAAAUAUAACAUGGUCGGUUUCACAAUGGAAUAUGUAAGAAAAUCUAGCUGAGGUGGGUAAGCGAUUCCAACAGAACUUCCAUAAGAAAAGUUUGAUUUUGAGUGCUACUUUAAGAUGCCAAAUGGUCUUCCAACUGUACUAGUCAGUAGCCUCAAUAUCCAUCCCUCUUUUGACAUACUGAUAAACACUGCUGGCAGUGAUAUCUCCCAAUGGGCUAGGCAACUAUUAGUUGACUAUUUUGGCAACUACUUCUGUUUUCUAUUAAAUUUAAUGUUUUUCUAAAUGGCAUCAUGCAUUUAUUUUUCUAACAUAAUAAGCAUAUUUUUAUUCCACAACUUUUCUAACAGCUAUACUUUUACCUCUGCUAUCCUGCAUUUUUACAAAAUUUCUGCUCUUUAUUUUAUGCUUUUAUUUUUUUCAUAUGACUGAUUUCAGCAUUUGGAGAAAGAAAGAAAUCAUUUGGUAUUAGAGACCCAAAGUUUAUUGAAGGCAUUGAACAUUCAGAAGAGCGAAAAGGAUAAAUUGUCUCAAGAAGUUGGCCAUCUUGAAAUAUCAUUAAAACAAGCCAAGGUACUAAUUAGUUUCCUUGAGAGAUCUUUGUUGUUGUUGUUGUCAUUGUCGCGAACGUUAUAUAUUUCUUUGUGUGGAAGGAUGGAUAUUGGUGUAAGAUUUCUUUUUGUAUCUUCGCAAGAGUUUUGUUGCUUGAAAUUGUUUCAGUUGAAGUAAACAUAGAUGGUUUAAGCAUAUAGUGUUUGCUUAUGAUUCUUGUUAAAACAAUUUGCAUCCUGAAUCAACUGAGUGUUUCUUGACUUAGGUGCAAUAAGUAGAUAAUAUUUUUGAAAUAUGGCUUUAUUUUCCAAUUGAUCAUUAAUAGCAUUUUUAUCUAACAAUUUUCUUAAUUUUUGUGCCAAAUCUGGAUUCUUGAGCUGAUUGUGGAUGAUGUUAAUAAUGUUGGUUUUAUAAGAUUGAUGUAGCUAGCUAAAUCUCAUUUCUUGAUCAAAUGGUAGGAAUCAGUGGUUCGAUUAAGUAUAUGUCACUGCUUUGAAAUGUAAAACAACAUCAAGUUAAGCAAGAGGCCACGAUAUGCAUAUAGAAUUAUAUAUACCUAUUUCGAUGUUAUUGAGCAAAGAGGACAGAGAAAAUAAAUAUUUUAAAUUAAUAAAUUUGAUAUUUGGGAAUCUUGUGAUUUCUUUGUUCUCAGGGGGCAAGCAAUUGUUUUAGGAACUUAAAUAUUAAAAACAUUGUUUGAAGGUAAGUAUUGAUUUGAUCAUGGUAUGCAAUUUCGAAUGGUAUCGCUUGGUACGGGCGGUACGUACCGGUCCGACGGCAUACCGGUACGCGGAUCGUCUGUUACCGGACGGACAGUGCUACAGUGUUAUACUGUAGCAGUGCUACCCCCGUGCUACAAUAAGAGGAAAUCGCUCGGUAAACCCUGGUGUACCGUUCGGUAUGCCCUAGUGUACCGCUCGGUAUGUCGGUACCGUACCAUACCGAGCUAACCUCGAAACACCGGUAUGGUACGGCAUUGCAUACUUUGGUUUUGACAACCACCCGCAAAUGGUCAUGGAAAUGUAUUAUGUUGUAGCCGUUGCUACAAAUAUGGGCUAAUUUUCCUAUCAAUUAUGCUAAAAUCAGAAACAUAUCAUGGUGUUUAGAAAUGAUUGCAUAUAUAUCAGUAUGGAAACCUUAAAGCAGGACUAUCAAUAUGAACAGUAAUAUCCUACCAUUUUGUUCUUAAAUUAGAAAUUUUGAGAGUACUAAUGAAGUCACAGAUUCAAGGAGAAAUACUGGUUUAAGCAUAUUUGGCAUGAGUAGGGAUGAAAAGAACAACAUUGACCCCUAGUCAGACAGCUUCUUUCAAUCAGGGUUUUAAUUUCGAAUGAUACGAGUGGUACGUACUGGCCCGCUAGCAGAUCGGUAUGCGGACUGCCCGCUAUUGGGCGGUACUGUCGAUUGAGGUUGUUUUCGCUUCAUUACCACCUGAAAUCGAUCGAUGACGGUCGAUUUCGAUCGUCCCACUACCAAGCGGUAUUAGCCGAGGGAGAAGGAAGAAUAGGGAGAAGAAGAGGGGGAAGAAAAGGGAGAACUUGGAGAUCCGACGUUGCUCUCCCUUGACGAUCCCAAUCUGUCGUCACCCUACCUUGCCGGACGCCGCAGAUGAGAUGUCGCCUCCUCGUCUGAGGUGACGAGGCCUCGACAUUGUCAGCGACUUCUUCUAAUCUACGCGGGGAGAAGAAGCCUCGACGUGGGAAGAAGAAACCUCGGCGACGUUGCCGAAGCUUCACGGGGAGACCUCGGCAUCAUCGACGACUUCUUCUAAUCCACACAGGGAGAAGAAGUCUCGGCGUGGGGAGAAGAAACCUCGGCAACGUCGCUGAGGCUUCGAGGUUUUCUUCUCCCUACACAGGGAGAAGAAACGACGUGACGUCGCCCCUUUAUUUAUUUUUUUUGAACUUUAUUAAUAUAUAUAUUUAUAUAUUGAGUGGUAUGCUAGAGUGUACCGCUCGGUAUACUCGUACCGUAUUGUACCGAGCUGAACUCGAUACUCUGGUACGGUACGAAAUUACGAACCAUGCUUUUAAUCACCAAUUUGUUCCAUCUGCCAUACUACACAUCUUGAAUGACAAUUAUCUCUUUUAUGAUUUUUUUUUAAUGUAUAUCAAGCCUAUUUGCCUGGAUUUCCCUGCUUUAUAUUGUUCACAGUCUAUAGCUGUAAGCACUAUAUAUUUGGAUGUGUGUAUGAUAAAUCUUUUAAUUGCUAUAUUGCAUGUCUUUCUGCUAAUUGAAGUAUUAUCCCUAGUAGCAACAGGAGCUUGAAAAUUUAAAUUAUCAGAAGGUACUUGCAGAGACGACACAGAUGUAUGAGAAGAAAAUAGCACAGUUAAUUAAACAGCAAGAAGAUGAAUCCUCUCGUUGUGCAGAUUUAGAAGAACAGUUGUCUGGGAUGAAGAAUUAUCCGAGUGGUAAUAAAAAGUCAGUUCAGGUAGUCUUCUCCUUUUUCAUGCUAUGAAUUAAUUUGGAUCUAUCGUAUGAAUCUUCUCAUGAUUGCAACAUCUGCAAUUGUUGUCCUCUGCUUGUUCUGCAGUUCUAUUGUGAUAUCAAAGAUCCCUUUGGCAAAAUGCUAGGAAAGUCUGGUAUAUUGCUACUCAUGUUUGAUUGAACUUGGCUGUAUGUGUUCUUUCUUACUGUCUGAACAAAAAGAACAAUGGACGAAGAACAUUGAAUUAUUUGAUGAAAAGUAUGAAAACAAUAAUAGAAUAUUUCAUUGAUUAAAUCACAUUCUAUGAAGUUAGUUGCUUUUGCUCCCAGAUCAUUAUGAACGAUGUGUUUGGUAAUCCAAAAUGGAUGCCACAAUCUAUUCAGUGAGUAGGAUGAUGUAUUUUUGUGGAUUGUGUCAGUGAAAAUGAACCUUGCAGCAUAAAAGGCUUACAAGUCUAUGUUAGCUGUGCACCAUGAAGUCAUUAUGAUUUCUUAUGACUCCUUUAAUUCAAGGAUUAAUUCAGAAGCUCUCUGCAGGGAAUCAUUUAUAUGUUAAAUUUAUUUUUUCAGUGAUCAAAACAGAUAAUCAUAUAAUGUACUCUUAACCAUCUUAAUCCAAAUUAUAUUCCUGGUAAGGUUGUCUAGCAUAUAUGAGACUUUACAAUUGAAAAAACACACUUCUUGAGUUAUUUUACUUGAAGCACUUAACUAACCUCCUAGAAAUUUCCAUACUGCCCUUUGAUGUGGUCACACCCACUUAAGAUGGCCUGUGAGUUUGAUAGGACUACAAAAUUUUGAUCUAAUAUCAUUGGUUUAGAUGUUAAAUAUCCUACUGUUGUUACCAAAGUUACUUUUUUCCUUCGACAACUGCGUAUUUAGGAAUUGGUGAUAAUUCUUUUUUUGUUCCAUGUGGAAGAAUAAAGUAGAUUAAGAGCAAUAUGUGGUUAAUGAAUUUUAUGAUUAUACACAUACAUAUUAGAGCUAUGUGUGAUUAAAUACUGUUGCCAACUGGUUUAUGAGUCUGGUGCACUUAGACUUGAUAUUUGUUGUUGUUUUUGCCUUAUAUUUCCUUCUGAACCCACUAUAUUAGUGGCUAUCCCUUUUCUGAACUCAAUAUCUUCAUUCUGAAUCUUCAUUGAACGAGGAACUAUGAGUUGUUAUACUCGGCAACAAGUUAUUACAAAACUUACAAUCUCUUCUGUUUAGGAACCUGCUCCAUCAUUGUUAUGGCCUUUUCAUUGUGAUUGUUUUCUGAGUCUCAAGGUGUUAAGAUAACCAAUUGAGUUGUCAUUUACUUAGCAUCAAUCACCGAAAUGUAAACUUCUUAUAUAGUCAUUUACUUCAAAAUGUCAGAUGCAGGAGAAAGAGAUUGAUGAGCUUAAAGGGGAAAUCUUAAAGUUGAAUGAAGAUGCUGCAAGUACAAUUCAGUCCCUAAGAGCAAGGAACAACGAACUUUCGCUAGAAAAGGUCUGAACUUAUUUAACUUAAAAUUUUAGAUCAUAUUUCCAGAUAUUCUUCAAUGUCGUGUUUGAUGAUUUGAAGUCUUUUUCUAUACAUGGUAUAAACAAGUAUUAAUGAAUAAACUCAUAUUUGUAACUAAGUUAUACUAUAUCUUAUAUAUGCAUUUCUUCCCUUUUUGAAGUGAAGCAUAUAUGUCCUUAUAAUAAGGGUUCUUCACAAGUACAAGAUAUAGAGGCAAAAUCUUGCGGACGUCUUUAUAUACCUGAAAUGAGUAUAUGCAAGGAUCAACAAAUUUUACGAGUGUAUAUGACCAUUUAACUCUUUGUAGGUAUAUUCAGAUUUUGAUCACUUACAAAAGAAAGGGAGAUGAAAGAAAUUUUUGAGGAAAAAUUUCUAUAAUUUAUUGAUAAAUUCUUUUACCCUUUGAGGAUAUUUAGGAGUUAUUUUUUUUUCUUUCUAGGAGUUGUUGAAUGGAGAGCUUAAAACUUUGAAAGACAAACUGCUAUAUGAAGAAAGGAAAAGAAGGUGCCUUGAAGAUGAAAUUAUCAUAUUGAAAAAUGCCUUGAAUGAUGACAAUGCAGAGUAUGAGGUAGUGGUUCUUUUUAUUCAAAAGGUUAUUUAUUAACUUCUACAUGCAUGUUGGUUAUGAUCACCCUUUUUUCAAUAACUGUGAUUCUUUCAGUCUAAAAGGCCAUAUAAGGGAGAUAUUACAACUAAAUCAACGUUGUCACUUGGAGGUCCUGCAAAUAUUCCCAAGUCCAACAGGUCAAGGGAGACCAUAUCUGGUCAAAAGGACACUAUCUCCAAAAUAUUUGAGGAAGGCAAGACCGUAAAUGUUGAUUUACAUUUGGAUAUUGAGAACUUUCUGAUCCACCGCUGUUUCUCUAACAUGCACUCAUUUGCAUUUUUUAGUUGGUCUAUCAAAUAUAUUAGCCUUAUUGAAGUCUGAGGACUUGGAUGUGCAAAUUCAUGCAGUAAAGGUAGUAGCUAAUCUUGCUGCUGAAGGUAUGUAAAAUCCUGUAACCUGUGUUUUUGAGAUUUGGAUAACAAUUAUAUUAGAUCAAUUCACCAAUUAAUUCCAGACAUUUGUGAUUAGAUAUGCUUGACUGUACAAGUAUACCAUCUCUUUUGGAAUGCUGUCGUUUUCCAACUUGAAAAAGGAGCUUUCACUAACCUUGUAUGCAUAGAUGUUCAACCCAAGUGCACUCAAGGUUAAUCUGUGGAUCAUAUCCAGUAUUUUACCAGCAAAAGAAACAGACUUGUUUAAAAGAAUCUUCAAAACACCUUCAUACUAGUUUCAACAUAUAUGCUAUUGGUCUUUAGCUUCUUGAAGAUAACUUAGAGGGCUAGACAGCAUAAUAAAGGACCAAGCAUGGAAUUAGUGGAUUCCAAUUUGAGCAUCCAAAAAACAACAACUAACAUAUGAUUAGGAUACACAACAUGUGAACCCAAAAUAAAUUGUCUCUGUAUGAUAAAUUUUAACAGAAGACUUGCCUCACUAGCUAGCCUUGACACCUUGGCCUGGGACAUAGACCAGAUUUCUACUCUAUGGCUUCAGUUACAUGCCACUAACCCCAAAAGGUAGCGGUUGUCCUCAGCUAGUUUCAGAAUUGUCAAAAUCCAUAGUUAUGAGUUUCAUUCUGAAAAAUUGCUACCACACAAGAUUUGGGUUUCUUAGCUUCCAAACUUAAUUACACAACAGAUCUCUCUCUGUAUUGCAAACAAUGCAGAGUUUAAGCGAUCACAAUUUUUGCUCAAAAUAUGCCACCAAAUUUUGUCCAUCAUUAACGAAUCACGUGCUUAAUAUCCAUAAUUACAUAUUGAAUAACUAAUAACCACUAAAUGAAGAAAUAAUAAAUAUGUAAUAGACUAUUAGAAAUCUUUCUUGAAUAAAUUCUUCAAUCGUAACAGUACAUGAACAUGCAAGACUUGCAUAAGGCUUCCCAGACUUUAUCCCACAAUUAUCCCUGAUGAAAUCCUGGGUAUCUAGAUGAAAUGUAUCUUUUGAUAUUCUUUCUUCUGAAAAAAACAUGGCAGAUAGCCUUUGUUUAGAACCUUAAGACUUGUGAUCAUUUGUAUAAUAUUUGCAUAAUUUGACUGGGUCAACAUCCAUCUAUUGUAAAAAGCUGCUAUUUUUUAUUUUUUUAGGAUUUCCUUAGUGGUGCUAUUUGUAUUCAUUCUAUGUAUCUGCACAUUUAUCAUCUUUCUUGCUGAAAAAUGAUAUAUUGGAUUUAGGUUUCAGGUACAAAGCAAAACUUAUGCUAACAUCUAAGGCUCGUCGUACCAUGGUGUACCGUUCAGUAUGGAUGGUACAUAUCAAUUUGAUAGGGGACUGGUAUAGGCGGUACAUUGGUAUACCCCAAUGUAUCGUGUGUUAAUAUGCUUAGUACAGCUUGGUAUAACUCGGUACGUACCAUACCGAUAGUUGGUCGGUAUACUGGUACGGACCAAUAAGGCGAACUAUACUAAUAUCUACAGUGAUGCACAUUACAUUGUGAUGAUAGCUUCAAGUGUAGAAGUCAUGACUAGGAAAUGAAAGUUAACUAUGAUAUGCUUCUGUGUUUUGUGAUUUAUGGUUCCCUCUCUUGUUUGAAGUAGCUGUUUUAACUCGAGACUGUAGCUAUUGUUAUGUUAGUUUUUAUAUACUUCUCUUUUCCCUUGCAACCAGUAGCUUAUGCACAACAGUGUUCGACUCUUGUUUCUCUAUGAACUAAUACUUUGAUGCCAACUAGUCUAAAUUAAAGAUUGUGAAAGCUGAUGUCGGAUUAUUCCAGUCAUUGAUAUGUUUGCAUAAAAACUUGAAUUUUGCUGACUUUUUCUAGUAGAAGUUUUUUUUUCCUGAAUUCUGAUUUUUAAGUUCCGCUAGCAGUAAAAGGAAGUAAAAAGAUUUAUUCCUCAGUCAUGAUUCUAUUGUAGCUGUUAUCUCAAAGUCAAUUUAGGAUUUUCGACUACGACUGCCUUUAAUUGCAUGUAAUUAUUAACAUGUCAUUUUAGUGCUACAUUAUCUUUCUUUUUUUAUUUCCAUCUCAGUUGCUUGCCUCUGCAUUUUGCAGAUGUAAAUCAGGAAAGGAUCGUUGCGGAAGGAGGCCUGGAUACUCUUCUUCUGCUUCUUGAAUCAUCGGAAGAUGCAAAUAUUCAUCGAGUCACUGCUGGUGCUAUAGCUAACUUGGCUAUGAACAGUAAGUGGACAAUAAACAUAUAUCUGAAGAUAACUUGCUAUUUAUUACUCAUAUAUAGUUAAUGAUUAUAAGAAUCAUUGUUUUAGUAGUUCAUGAUCAUUUUGGAACUGCAAUUUCUAAAACUUGCAUUUGAGUUCCUGAGAUUUUGCCAAUCAAGAUUUCAAAUAUUAUGAUGGUAUACCAAUUGUACCAAAUAUACCACACCUAUCUGGCCACAUACCAGUGUACAGACUAUGUUGGUUGAUACCAACAUCUAAGUAGACAAUACUUUUUUUAAUAGUUUUGGUAGGCUAUUCAGAUUGUAGCAACAAGUAGGGUUAUGGUCUAAUAAGAUUUUGGUCUAGGUUGUCAUGGACUUAGCUGGAAUUACUUGAGUUGUGAAUCACCCUUGCAAUAUCUAUUCACAAAGGGUCAGCUUAAUAGCAACCUCGUACAGGUUCCGAAAGACCUGUAAAAAGAAAGUUGGUUAAAUUUAGAAAAUGAGCAGUGGACAAGUCUCAAUGUCUUGCAAAAGGGGAAGCCUACAAGCAAUUCAACAAACACUUGGUAUGCAAAGAGAGAAAAGAGAGGAAGCGAAAAUAAAGACUUAAAAAGGCAAAAGAAUAGCUGCAAGUUUGUAAACGGUCGCUCAACUAGGUGUCGAGGUGUAAGAUAAGUUCAUGCACACUUUGCAUGCAAACUUGUUUAUCCAAAUAGGGCUACCCCAAAGUCCCAUAUAGUUCUAUGCCACUCGGGUGGUUCUAGGGGUCUGAGAUGACUGACGUUUUGCACUGCACCAUAGCCCGCAGAAAAAAGGCCACAACACGCAAAAACGAGGCCAUUGUGGAGCAGUUUUGCGCAGUCUAGCAAGCGAUUGCUAUGUAGCAUUGUAAACUACAUUUGGUUACAGAAACCAAGCAAAAAUACACAAAAACAAGGCAAACACGCUACCAGACAAUUAUAUAAGCAAACAUAAGUGACGAACGGUUCAUUGACGAAGGUGUCGUGAGCGCAUGAUAACACUCUUCCCCACUUAAUUUGUCAACGCCCUCAUCGACACUUGUUGGUAGGCUUUGAUGACUUUUUCUUUAUGUCGCAGGGCAUCUUUUGGCUUCCAACCAGUUCUAUUUUGGGAAAUUUUCACCACUUCACCAAGUAUUCGAUUUGCUUCGCUUUGUUGGGUAGAUUUGUCUUGUGAUCCAAAACCGUCCCAGGAAUCGUGCAUCUCGAUUAUUGAUAAUGUUAUGCGGAACUCCCCAAUACUUUACCAUAUUCUUCAUCAUCAACUUGGUCGCCGUCUCCAUUAAUGAUUGUAGGGGAGCAACAAGAAACAUUGCAUACUUCGAGAAUCAGUUGACUACCACAAGUAUCAACACUAAUCUCCCUGUUGUCAGGAAGCUUGAUAUGAAAUCCAAGGAAAUGCUCUUCAAUGGUCUAUCUAAUAUAAAGGCUCCAAAGACCCACUAGCUUUCCUUUCUCCACUUUAUCUUGUUGGUAUGUGAGACACGUCUGAACAUGCUCCUAUACAUCAGUCCUCAUCUUUGGACAAUAACAGGCCCUUUCCAUGAGAGUCAAAGUUUUGUGAAUGCUCGGAUGCCUCGUCCAAAGGAAAUCAUGAUACUGCCCAGUGAUUUAAAAAGGCGCUCGGGCGAGGUGAGGCGAGGCCCGAGCGUCUCGCUAAUCUCCCAGGCGGCGCGCUUCAAACAGGCACCGCCUGGGCGCUCGCCCGAGCCCAAGCUCUGGGCGCUUCGGGCGAGCACCUGGGUUAACCAAGGCGAUCGAACCAGGAUUUUAGGUCUGAUUCGGUCCUGGUUCGGUCUCUGAUGGUUAGUUGGUUCAAUCAAACCAACUAAAAUCGAUAUAAGUGAGAACCCAACCCAAAGGACUUUGGGGGAUAGAUUGAUGUUGUUAAGGUAUUUAAGUGCUUGCUUUUAAGGGUACUCUCACCAUGUGUGGCCCUUUGCAUAAGAAGCAUCUGCCAGCUUUUGAGACUUUGCUUUUCGAACUCGACCCCUUUUAGGAACUCUUUCACUUCUAUUCAAGAGCAGUCUUUUUCCCUCAGGAAUACUUAGAUGGUUGGUUUCCUGAAGACUGUUGCUUCUUCCCAAGUCCUUCAAGGAAACAAAUUCAAUAAACCUUUCUACAAUUGCUAUUGUCCCGACCAAAUCGAUAACAUUUUGUCGAUGCAACUCCUAUUGUGCCCAGGGUUUCAGGCCAUUAAGGAAGCUCAGCAACUUAUCCUUAUGUUUUGUAUAUCCAACAUCAAUGUUGAGAACUGCUUCACAUAGUCCUAAAUGGAAGUGUUUUAAUGGGAGUUGUCUCAGCUUCCUUUGUGCAACGAACCCGGUGUUCUCGAGUAGGAAUUGAUUUAUAACUCCCAUUUUAGGUCUUCCUAUGUAUCCACUUGAUAUCGACCUUUUGGAUCUCUUCCCAUCAUGUGCACCACUAGAGUUUCAUGUCCCCAUUUAAGUAUAUGGUCAUGAUCGACACUCUGGUGUCUACAGAUUCAAGCCUUGUUGCCUGAAAAUAUUGCUCCAUGUCAAAUAUAAAAUUAUCAAGUUUGUUUAUGUCCCUAGCACCACCUAACAAUGUAGCUUAGUUGUCCUUAAGUUUUGUGGCGGAGCAAUGGGGGUGUUGUUCCCUCCGGCAUGAAGAGCUCCCGUGAACACAGUUUUCCUUGUCAUUAGAUCUGCCACAAAUUCUUAUAAGUGCUGCACAAACUCUUGUGUGUCUUCCAUUAAUCGAUUGACUUAGGACUCCACUAUGUCAAUUCGAGAUUCUGCCUCCUCUUACGAGUUCUCUACCUCAAGGAACUUUGCUGGCCUUGAUAGAGCUCCUCUAAGCUCACUUUGAGGACAUCGAGGAGGGUUUCCGUUGUUGCAAGCCUCUCAUGAUUCUUUGCUUUCCCAUAGUUAGCACUUCGGAUUGCGCUUCCUCUGCUUGCAAAGAAUUGCCAACUUCUUGCUCACUAUUUUGGCUAUUGCGCUCCUCUUAAGAGGCUCUAGCAGCUUGAGUGCGAGUUUACACUUACAACCCACCUAUAGCUGCCUAGGGCAAUGACCCUACUUGAGCAGUCCUGCUCGAUUCACCAUGGUGCUUUGCCAUGGCAAGAGUGUGAAUUUUCGUUAUUUGCUCGAAUCGCUUACUCGUUUUGAUGCUAAAUAUCACGGAUUUAGUUGGAAUUGCUUAAGUCAUGAGACACCCUUGCGAUACCCAUCCAUAAAAAGUCAGCCUAAGAGCAACCUCGUACAAGUCUCGAAGGACCUGCAAGGAAGAAAGUUGAUUAAAUUCAGAAAAACGAACAACGAACAAGUCUUGCUCAAUUCACCACGGUGCGUUGCCAUGGCGAACUUCCAUUGUUUGCUCGAAUCGCUUACUCAUUCUGAUACUAAAUGUCACGGACUUAGUCAGAAUUGCUUUAGUUGUGGGGGCACACUUGCGAUAUCCAUUCAUAAAGAGUCAGCCUAAGAGCAACCUCGUAUAGGUCCCAAAGGACUUGCAAAAAAGAAAGUUGAUUAAAUUCAUAAAACGAGCGGUGGACAAGUCUUGAUGUCUUGCAAAAGGGGAAGCUUACAGACAAUUCAGCAAACUCUUGGUAUGUAAAGAGAGAAAAAAAGUGGAACGGAAAUAAGGACUUUAGAAGACAAAAGAACAUUCGCAAGUCCACAAACGGUCACUCAACUAGGUGUUGAGGUGUAAGACAAGUACAUUCACACUUUGUGUGUAAACUUGUUUAUUCAAAUAGGGCCCAACACUAUCCCAAAAUUCCAUCUAGUCCUAUGCUACCCGAGUGGUUUUAGGGGUUUGAGAUGAACAAAAACUUACAAAAACAAGACAAAAUAUGCUACCAAAUAUUUGUAUAAGCAAACAUAAGUGACAAACGGUUUGUUGAUGAAGAUGUUGUGGGUGUGGGACGACUGUUUGUGAUAGGGUACUGGUACCUGCAUUAAAUUCUUUUUGCCAGUAUUGUAUAUAAUUACAAGGACUAAGAAAGAAGGCCUAACCUAAAGAGUGUCAUUUACAAAUCUAUAUUUUGAGUAUCUUAUAUCAUUAUCAAUUUACAUAUCAAUUAGAAUUUGAUGUAUCUUUUUUAACCAUGUUGUCCAUGAAUUUACUUGUUAUUUCUAGGUUCUAAUCAAGGCUUAAUAAUGGGUAAAGGAGGUGCACGGGUACUAGCAAAUAUCGCUUCAAAAACUGAAGAUCCUCAAACACUUCGAAUGAUUGCUGGAGCAAUUGCUAAUUUAUGUGGGAAUGGUUAGUUUCUGUUGUCUUGCAUCACCAGUGUUGUUAAAUGUUUAGGGUUCCGAGUUUAUUUUAGGUUGUUAGUUACUUUAUUUAUUGUGGCAAAUUAACUACUCAAAUGUAUCAUAUUUCACACUAUAAAGUACUAUGACCAUAAUGGUAAAUCAUAAUUUUCUCUUUCCUUUUAAAUUAAAUCUUGUUUAAUCUCAUGCAUACCCUGUGAUGCAUAUUCUAUCUUCAGGAAAGAAUUUAUGAAAUAUUAGAUGAUGUAUUAUCUGGUGCCUGGCCCUUACAUCACAAUUGCCACAAAUAUUAAGCAUUCUAGAACAAAGCUGAAAAUUUGCAACAAGCAAUUGCAGCUUAUUUGUCCUUUACUUUUGUUGCAGGUGUUCUCAUUCUGAUUCUCACUUCUUUUUAUAGAGUAUGUCUCUUUGAACUGGAAUUUCAUGCAAAGUAACUCAAGUUUUGGAAUCCUUUUCUUUUACAUGUGAUAUUUUACUGAGAUAAAAUUGCAAACAAGUCUUUACCUCUGUAGAUUUUUUAGCAGUUGUUUUAGCUGUAUCAAACUACCAAUUGUGAUUUUCUAUACUUUGAAAACCAUUAAAUGCACCAAAAGAUUUGUUUUGACCAAGUUUUUAGACAAGUUGUCUUCAAAGUGGAGAAUGAAAUAAUUGCGGGAACUUGUUCUCCAGUUAAGUUGCUUAGGUUAACUUCUAAAAUGAACUCCCUUUGUUUAUUUGCUCUUCACACACACACACAUAUAUAUAUACCGAGUGUGUGUGUGUGUGUGUGCAUGGUUUGUAUUAUUGGUCAGUACUGGUGUACUGACCAGUUAUCGGUAUGGUACGUAUCAAGUAUACUAACACAUGGUACACUAGGGUGUAAUGAUAUGCCGUCCAUACUGAUCCUUUGUCGGAUUAGUACGUAUCGCAUGUACUGAGCAGUACGUUUCGAUAUGUCAAAUGUUAUGUAUGUGUGUGUGUGUAUAUAUAUAUAUAUCACAGAAUAGAAGAACUAAAGUCAUAUUGUAAUACAAGGUUUUAGAGAUGAGUUGCUUAAAAUCACCUUGUAAUACAAGUAAAUAAUAAGAAAUUAUGUAUUUGUUCCAAUUAACGAGGUUAUUUAUCCCUUAGAGAAGACUUUUGGAUGGUUGAAAAUAAGUUGGAAGUGUGAGCAGAGCUCUUUAUAGUUUAUAGCAAGGUAUGCAAUUUCGAAUAAUACCGUCCGGUGCGGGCGGUACGUAUUGGUCCGUUAGCUUACCGGUACACGAACCGCUCGUUAUAUAUAUAUAUUGGUCCGGUGCAGAGUCGCGUCGCCUUUUUCGGUGACGUCGUCGAGGCAACGCGGCGUCGCCUUAUAUAUAAGAAUAUAUAUAUAUAUAUAUAUAUAUAUAUAUACGACNNNNNNNNNNNNNNNNNNNNUAUAUAUAUAUAUAUAUAUAUAUAUAUACCGAACGGUAUACCGAAUGGUAUACCGCUCGGUAUACAAUUUCGUACUGUACUGAGCGAACGUCGAAACUCGGGUACGGUACGAAAUUGCAUACCUUAGUUUAUAGUUUAUAAAUAUUUCACAAAUUAGUGUAGCCAAUUGACAUGGUUUAAAAUACAUGUUAGUCAACUACUUUUUUUUUUGAAAGGUGUUCAGCAUAUAUUUUGUGUUAUUUCAUGGUCUUGACACCUCCUUGUUACUUUUCCAAUUCCGGUAAUGUUCUGAAACCAUCUUUUAUGCACUUUGUGAAAAAACAUGUGUUCUUUUGGUGCACAGGUUUACUGCACCAGUGAUUCAUUUGAUGUAAUUUUACUAUUCCUAAAACUAUCAGUGAACAAUAUAAUGAGGACGAGCCAAUGCUAAUAAUUAUAGAACCUCUGAUGUGUGGCCCUACAUUAUGUUUUAAACUAAAGAUUGCUUCUUUUGGAAAUUGUGGAUUUAUAUAUAUUUCUUAAUCUUUUUUUCUGAUUUUUGUGUUCUAUAUAUGCAAUUGAAAUAUCCAAGAAUUCAUCUUUCUAUCUCUUAGAUAAAAACAAAAUUUUGCUUAAGACAUGCCUUUUGAUUGACAGAAAAGUUACAUGUGACAUUGAAAAAGGAUGGUGGUCUCAAAGCACUUUUGGGAAUGGUGCAGUGUGGACAUAGCGAUGUCAUAGCUCAGGUUGCCCGAGGGUUUGCAAAUUUUGCAAAAUGUGAAUCACGAGGUUAUUAUAAUUCUUUCUUGUUUUAUGAAAUUACUGAUCACUUGUCAACUUAAGCUUAUUUUAAGAUAUGACUUACUUUUUAACUUUUGCAUUUUUUGCUUUGAAAGAUAUGAUUUACUUUGUAAUACCUCUUCUUAAAAAGGAUUAAACCUAGCUAAGACUGAUUAUCUUGGAUGAGAUGGUUCGUAUAAUGUUGAGGCUUUAUAACCUGAAGUAAAACAGGCCCAAAGUUAAACGAUUGUGAGAGUUUGAUUAGAUAUCAUCCUAGGUGUUCCUGGUCGAUUACACCAAACUCAUUAUUGCAUCCACUAAAUAAAUAACAUUGUAGCAACGUUAAAAGAAAUAGAUUGACCGAUAUAUACUGACUAGAACUUGCUGGACUGACCAGGAACUGGCACAUGUGAGUUUGAAAUCAUUUUUCGUUUUUUUAAUCUGGACAAUUGUUGACUGCUGUCAACAGUCCUCUCCUCUUCUACUUGUCCUCCUCCUGCUCCCCUCUUCUCUUACUCUCUUAGGUUUGUGUCAACUGAUUUACUGGGACACCAUGUGUUGUGUACUGAUCUCAGACUGGUAUGGUUUUUGGACCAAAACUUGAAACCUUUCAUUAAAGUACUUACAAUUGAGUUUAUGGUUCCCUACUCGUGCUGCUCAGUUCCUGGCAUGCUACAGUAUUACAUGAAUAUACAACAUUUAUUGGCAUGGGAUUGGUGUGGCUUGUUUAGCAUGGUUAUUCACUAGCACUUUGUCUUCUUCUAUGCAUCUAUCACAAGUCCUUUUUAGGCUAUGGAUCUCCUGUUGUGCCAGCCCUUAGUCAGCAUGGCUAAGGUGCAUGGUUCAUUGGUUACAUGACCAUAUUAUGACAAGGAAGUUGGGAAUCAUUAGUUGGUUUUCAUGGUUUCUUGUUUCUCUAAUUCAACAUGAACUUUGCGUGGCCUUGGAUCCAAGUACAUGAGAAAUUUAGACCAGGUUAACUGACUGCAAAAAUCUGCUUUACUUUCCACAUAUCAUUCUGAUUAGAUGUGUUUAUAAAAUAUGUUUUCUUUUUCAGGAAUGGUAUAAUUGCUAUGCUUGAUAAUGAUGACAGGGACCAAAAAUGUUCUAGUACAUUAUGGUAGCUUGAAAUGUUUUGAGUAUGCUUUAUGACCAAUUUCAUUUCUUCAAAUUUGGAGUUCUGGGACAUUCCUUGGUGUUCAAAAUCAGAAUCUCACAAUUCUAAAUAUAUAUUUUUCUUUUCACAUUUAAGGUGACAUAACGUUAUGGUCCUGUGUUUAGCGUACUGUCUUUUUGUUCUCUAAGGUGUAAUUACACACCUGUUUUCUGACUUAAGUCUAUGCACAAGUACAAGUAGAAUUUUAUACGAUAUUUCACCAGGAUACUUUUAUUGAGUCUUUGUAAUUGUUUGUUCCAAAGGACAUAGAAAGGGAAGGUCUCUUCUUAUUGAAGAUGGAGUAUUAAAUUGGAUGGCCACUAGCUCUGCUACAUUUUCAGCUUCAACAAGACGGCAUAUUGAACUUGCAUUCUGUCAUUUAGCUCAAAAUGGUACAUAUGCUAUUAACUCACACACUUUCUAUUUUUACAUGUUGCCAUUGGUUUUAACUUUUCUUUCUAUCAUUUUUUUGUGAAAAUUUGGCAUUUAUAACAGGAUCAGUCUGUUAUGCCCUUGGUAGAUCAGUGAUGAGCCAUUUUGUAUUAAAUUAUCAUAAUACACAUUUGGAUGCCUACGAUGGAUGUCCAAAUAUGUUUCUGGUUUUGCCUAUCAUAAUACAUUAUUUUAACCGGAACAAUCAUUUUUUUUCUAAUCUUCAUUGCAAUACCAGAGUCUUCAUGAUCUUUAUAACAAACUGUGGACUUUGUGGCAUUUUUUGAUUUAGCUCUUUGCAUCUAUUUGAUAAUAAACUUUGUUACACCAUAACAUGUCAUUGAUCUUUAUCGUUAAUCUUGUCUUUAUGAUAUAUUAUUCAUUCAUUAUUAGGUAUAUCAUAAAAUUGAUAAAUUAUGCUUUGUAUUGUUUUAUUGAGAUGGUGAUGAGAACUAUGGUUGGGUUAAAUGAGCUUUAAUACAUCAGCAGGUUAAGAAGCUUGUUCUAUCAACUUCCAAAUGAUAUAAUGCUUUCUAGACUAGUACAGUAUUCAGGAAAAGUAUUUUUUGAGCAGAAGGAUAAAAAUAGAACAACAGGUAAUUCAUCAAACUGCUUUGGCCAAGGAUAAGGAUGUCGGACUUGGUGAUGUUUGAGCCAAGUUUUCAUAUUAAUUGGACUGAGUUUUACUUGAAAAUGACUACAUGCAGAAAUUAGAGUUUUCUUCUCUAGGUAAAGAUAAAAUAAAAAGGUAUCUACCAGAAACAACUGCUACAAUCACCCAUUAAAUACAAAGAAAUUAAAUUAGCAGUGUUGAUAGUGUAGCAGAUCAUUGACAAUGUUUGCGAUGAAGCAGUCUUAUAUCAAAUGAUUUUGAUGUGCUGGUAUGUUAUACACUGACUUUCAAUAAAAUUAUAAACCAUAUGAUCUAACAUGUAUUUUGCAUGGACACGAUUGCCAUUGCUUGUUUCAAAUGCGAGUUUGUUGCUGGUUAAAGUUGCUUUUGAAGUUAAUGAGAUAAUUUAUUUUAUGAUUUAGAUUCUUUUGUCACAUACAUGUGGUGCCUGAACUCUAGCUGAUGAACCAUUUUGAUUUAUUACAUGUCAUGCAGAAUAUUGUUUUACAUUUUACACUUGUUUAACCAUUUUUUUCUAAGAAUGAUGAUGGAUCCUUUGUAGAGGAUAAUACACUAGAGAUCAUAAGGAGCGGAGGGAUCAAGGAGCUUAUUCGCAUAUCACGAGAGUCCUCUAGAGAAGAUACUCGCAACCUCGCAAUGAAAGCAUUGGAUUCAAACCCAGCAUUUUCUACUGAGAUUCAUGCAACAUAAAAUAAAAAAGAGGAUGCAACAUCAAAAGUUUUCCUUCAUUCUUUCAUACAACAAUAUCAUUAUAGGAGCAUCAGCACCCAAUCUAUAUAACUUGUUUUGGGUCUUAGAACGUGUAUUGUAUAUGUAAAGAAAAAGAACUGAAACACGGAAAUGAUGCCAUGUUAUCUAUGCAACAUGUUAAAAGAUUGCUGGAUCAUGCUACAAUCUUUUUAUGGGAGCAUCAGCAUCCAAUUUAAAACUUAUGUUGGGACAUACAGAAUGAGUAUUCCACUCUUUGAUACCGAACUUAUAUGUAAAAUAAGUUCUUAUGCAACUCAUUAUUUUUGUUUACAUAUAAGUUCGGUAUCAAAGAGUGGAAUACUCAUAGCGGUUAUGUUGAGAAUUCUAAUGGUUACAAACUCUACAAUAUUAUCAUAAAUAAACUUGUGAUGACAUGAGAUAUUGAGUUUGAUCAACAAUAGAUUUGGAACUGAAAAAAAUAAUGAGUUGCAUAAGAAAGUUAUAUCUUCAGAAGAGGAUGAUAUACUAUAAGCAAAUACCAAAGAGUCUUUGUCUGAUCAUCACCUAGAUCGAUUAGGUUACAUGAUUCAAGAAGUCUAAUUGUAAGAAGGACAAGAACGAUUCAGGAGUAUAUGAUGUAACUCAAAAGAUUGGUACUAACAAUGAUAAAUUAUUUUAUUUUAUCUUUUUUACAAUACAUUAACAUUCGAAGAAGUUUGUAGAAAAGAAAAAUGACGAUAAGUUAUGAAUGAGGAGAUUUAUGUUAUUAAUAAAAAUGAUAUAUGGGAUCUUACGGUACUUCUAGAAGAGCAUCAAGCAAUUGGUGUUAAGUGGAUCUUCAAAACAAAAAGAAAUACACAAGAGGAGGUAGAGAAAUACACGAUUGGUUGCAAAGGGAUACAAACAACAAUAUGAGAUCGAUUAUAAAAAAGUAUUCACACCUAUUAUUCGAUUGGAGAUGGGAAUAUUUAUUAUCUCUCUAGUAGCUCAAAUGAAAUAAAAAUUUUUAUAAAUAGAUAUCAAAUCAAUAUUUUUUAAUAGAGUUCUUAAAGAAGAGGUAUAUGUUUAACAACCCCUUGGUUUUAUUAUUUAUGAAUAAAAAAAAAAGAUAUAUAAGUGAAAGAGAGCUCUUUAUGGGCUUAAACAAGCCCCAUGAGCAUGUUCUCUAUAAUAAAUUUAACUUUGAUUUGAUAUUUUAUUUGUAUGUAUAUAUAAAGUAAUAAUAUCUCCAUGAUUAAGGAUUUUAAACAUUCUAUAAAGAAGAAGUUUGAGUUGACCAACUUGAGUCUAUUCCUCGGUAUUGAAGUUAUACAAAAUAAUAAACGAAUUUUGAAGAAAAUUAUGCAAAGAAAAUUCUAAUAAAGUUUUUCAUUAAAGAUUGUCAUCCUAUUGAUGCACAUGUGUAAUAUAGCACCAAGUUGACUAAGGAAAAUGAAAGUACAUACAUUAAUCCAACUUAUUAUAAAAAUAAAAGUCUAGUUGGAUAUUUAAGAUAUUUGACAUGCGCUCGACUUGAUAUAUUAUUUAGAGUUGGUUUAAUAAUUAGAUACAUAGAAGCUCCUAAUACAUCUCAUUUAAAGAUCGCUAAAAGAAUUUUAUGAUAUAUUAAAGGGAUAAUGAAGUAUAGAAUGUUCUAUUCAUCAUCUAAAAGUUUGGAGCUCAUUAGAUAUAGAUAUAGUGAUAGUGAUUGGAUCGAAAGCUAUAAUGAUCGGAAGAGUAUAAUUAGAUUUGUAUUUGAUUUUGGUGAAUCUACAUUCACAUGGUCUUUAAAAAAUCAAUAGCAGCCGCAUCAUGAUCUAAAUUUUUGGGUAGUAUUUCUUCCAAGAGUAAACACAUCAAUAGCAGCCCACCAUGAACACCUACUCCCAUCACAGGGUAGCUGCAAUAUGACUCCGAAGCCAGAACCCCUCACAGGCAUUCGAGAAGUCUCCACAAUCUCUCAGGAUAUCCAAAGUUUCACCUCCACCACCGCCACCACCACUGCUUACACACUCAUUGCAACUUCUACACCAUGAUCAGCUCCAAAUGGACAGAAGUAACAUGAUAACUUUUGGUUCUGAUCCGAGCUGCAGAUCCUCUGGUGGUAGCUGCACCCAGAUCAGCUAUGGGACAGUGUUAGAGUAUGCCUAUGAUGGAAGGGGCUGUGAAGGAACGCAGGUAAGCAUUGACAACGGCAUCCAUGAUGGCCUCGAGGACACCAACAGGUUGUUGCAAGCAGGAGGAGGAAGCCAUGUAGAAACUCCAUUGGAUUAUACCUAUGAGGAGAUCAAGCAUUUGCUGAACUACAAUUCUGAGUGCAAUAUUAGCAAAAACACUCUAUAUUAAUGACUCAAUGCAGGAUCAUCUACAUCUUCUGAGCAAUACUACUGUAAUAGAACACCAUGAUCUUUUUCUCAGAAGCAUGCUAGCCCGGUGUUUGAUGAGAGAAGACUGGCGGUUCCUUGGUUGAGCAGAUAUGGUAUUGGAUUCUUUUUAUGCAUUUGCUUGUGAUUUGAUACUUCUUGUGGGUAGUACCUCGUCUGUCUGCUGCUGCUGCCUCAGCUGUCAGCAGCAGUCUUCAAAUCCACACAUGCACUAAGGUUAUGCUCAUAUUUAAACCCAUUUGAUUGCAUGGGUCUGCACAAUCUCUCUUAAUAUGAAUAUAUAGCUUAAACUGUAUUCAACUCAAGUAGAUUUCUGCUUGAAGAUAUAGAUGAAUAUUCUAGCCAGUUUGUAUUGCAUAUGCUUACUUUGGUUUAUCAUAUGGAAUGGGGAAAGGGGCCUCACAUCAUGUCAGGGAUAUAUGCUUAUCAAAGAUUGACAGUAUGGAACUGAGAUUAAUUAGAUUCUUGUUUUGGUUUGUAGCUUAAGACCCUUGUUCUUUAUCAGAUUAAGGAUCUUACAGUGACAAAAUGGACCUUAAUUUUUGCCAAAUGUAAGAGCUGAAGUUUUCAGAACAUCUAUUGUAAGUUUGACAAAUUGCUUGUGGAUUUGGAGCAGUGCAUUAUGAGGGGUGAGAUAAUGAGGGACUUUAUUUGGUAAAUUAUCACACACACACACACACACACACACAUAUAUAUAUAUAUAUAUAUAUAUAUACAUGUCAGAUUCAGGUUCAAUUAAAAUGGAUAAACUUGGGAGACUCCUCUUUAUAGUGUACAAACAAAGAGAUAUGGCCUGAAUCAAGAAUAUUUCAGAAAAUAUACUGUCAUCCUAACAUAAUAUAGAGUCUCAAUUGUCCCAAAAUAUCAGUUAUAUCAUUCGCAAAACAGAUGGUUGUCUCCAAACUCCAACUCAAUCCAAGUCCAACAUGUUAAGCAGCUCAUUUUACAUUAUGUAUUACAUUUUUCGCUGUAAGUUUUGGCUUAUUGUUUCAACAAUUAUAAAUAUGUGGUUUAUCAACCAAUACAUUUGGUAUAGUCACAUUAUGCAACAGUUGCAAUGAAAUAACAACCGACAUGCCCUGUGCUACCAACAGAUCAUUAUAAGAAACACAGGGAAUAAGGGAAACAUGAUCAGAGAUCACAUAAUCAACUUGAUCUUUGGAUAUUGGUUCACUCAAUUCAUACAAUGAAUUCAUCAAGUAGUCCAUGCUUUGCAAAGCAGACCAACAAGGAUGAUUCACACCUUUCCUAUGAAGAACCAUCACAUAUGAACAAGGACAGAUUAAGAAUGUAACCAGAGCCGGUCGUGUAGUCUCUCUUCUCCUGCACCAAGCAUCUCAUCAACUCUCUCUCCAUCUUGAUAAAAAUGGAAAGUUGGUGUAUAGCGUAUGCUUUGUGUCGUUUCAGGACAUUCAUCAAUAUCGGCAUAGACAAACAUGAGGUUUCUGAACUCAUUGCUCAGCUUACAGAAGGCCGGAAGGAUCUUGGUGCAUACUCGGCACCUACAAUACAUACAAUACAUACAAUACAUGGUCGAUGUGAGUAUAUUACAAAUAGCAGCCAAGCCUGUAAACACAUGAACUAUGGUAUCAAUCCCAAUCAUAAUUCAAAAUUUGGGCUACUAGACUUACUAAUCCCUUUUGGCCAAAUAUGUACCAGUGUACUAACACCCGACAUACCAGUUGGUGCCAAGGAGGGGAGAGGAGUGCCAGACAGAAGGGCUGGCAGGUGCUUGACAGCAGCAUGAAGCCAAACCCAUUUUUAGUGUAGACAGAGAAGGAACACAAAGUAUCCUAAAUCCUAAUUUUUAACAAAAAUACCAUCCAGAUUAUGCAGGUUACUGAGUGUCAAUUUGUGAAUCAGAUAGGGCCAGGCCAGGUAAAAGCCCUUGCUUCAUGUGCCAGUUCAACCUAGGACCGGUAGAUAUUGACAGUACAUACCGGUCCGGACAAUAUUUUCAAGCCAUGGUCUUGAUUAUGUACUAUUUCAAAAGUUGGUUUAAUAUUUGCAUCAUGUUGUCUCCACUCUUUUCCUGUAUUAUUUGCUCCAGUGCUAGAUGGUAUGUUUAUUGGUCAAGGUCAAAAUUAAUACCAGCGUAAUAAACUCAUUAACAGCAUUACCACCCAGUCCAAAGACAACAUUUUAUCACUCAGCAUGUGUACCUUAAACAAUACAUUCCAUCCUUAUUAUUUGGAGAGCUAAAGCAUCCUCAGGACCUCAUCCCUAAGAUACUGGUUGUGCUUAGCCAAUAACUCCUAGGUGGCCCAUGUUUGAUACAUGAGGCAUGCUUCUUCCAUCUCAGUCUAUAGUCAUAUUCCCCUCUUUCUACCCUUCAACUAGUACUGGCGCUUAACCAAUGGAAUCUUUGUCCAUGAGCUGCACAUGGCCAGGCCGUCUCAGAUCUCACAAUUUCUCUCACUUCAAUCCUAACAUUAUAGUUUGAAGCUUCCUUUGGCAUAGCCACUGUCAACUAUCUGGACUGUGGCCACUACCUACCUUCUCCACACUCUCAUCCAAGUUGUAUGAAGAGGGCAUGAAACUACAAAAGUGAAUAAGCAAAUGGGGGACACAUGAAUGUUAGGGUGAUUCCUUAUGUAACAUGCACGUACAUCUCUAACAAAUAGUAGGAAAAAAGUGUAUAUUUUAGGAUGUAACAUCAAUAAGCUAAUGAUAAAACAAAGAAAAGGAUACAUGAUAAUAACAAGACAUAAUGAACAAAAUAUUUCUUAAUUUACUAUUUCAUAUUGAGAAACCUAUCCAUCUUAAGCACCAAAAAAUUAAUCAUCAACAGUACAUAACACAGGACCCCAGUCGGCUGGUAAUGGAAGUGAAUCUACAAGCAAUCUAUUAUAUGGAAAUGGAAACAACAAUUAUUGGAAGAAGGAUGUAGCCAGAUUCUUUCAAAAAUGUGAAUACAUCUUAGAAGGUUCAGCUUUACUUUACAGAAAUGAUUUCGUUUGGGAUUGUCACAUGCAAUCUUUUGGAACAAUAUUAUCAAAAUAUAGUCUCUUCCUUUUGAAGUGAUUUAGAAAUACACAAAUAAACUAUAUCGACAAAUAGCAUGUAUUAUGCUGACCUUUUUGCAGCCAUGCAUUAAGAAAAAAAGUUUUGGCCUCAAUUUUUACCCUAGGUUAGUAGCUAUUACAACAACAUAUAGACUGGAUAUAUAUUUUUCCUGUAUGGAAAUCCAUCAAAGGAUGAAGGACCAUACCCCACGUUGAGUAUUUCUUAACGAGCAAAAAUUUUCCAAUUAUGUUGAUUUCAUCCAAGGUUUCCUAGGAUUACCAUUGAUCUUGUGGCAUCAUGUGUAAUGCCCCCAACCCAAUGGAGAGCCAAGGACCAUACAAUGCCGUAAUCCUAUAGGUUUCCCUAUAGAAAUGCAAGGUCAAAACAAGAACAAAUGACUUCCACAUACAUCUAUUACAUAAUCCAAUAAAAAGUUAAUCUACCAACAGGACAUUCAUAACAUGCUCAAGAAACUUAAUAACUCCUUUAGAAUUCAUAACAUUCAAAUCCAAAUAACAUAUACACAAAGUAAUCUGAAUGUCCAAUAGUACCCAAAACUUAAAAUAUUCUUUAUUUCAUAUCUGUAAUGAGCUAUUCCUCAAAUCUGAAAAAUGUAAAAAUAAUCGUAUGAGCAAACCACAAUUUAGUAAAUACCAUGACUCACAUCCUAGCAAAACUAAUCAUAAAUAAGUAUUUUACUUAAGACACAUAAGUUCUUUAUGUAUUCAAUACAUGUUUCAAAAUGCACAUUGAUAUCAAAUAAUUUCUUUAUGCUUAUAUAAUUUAUUAAAACUUAAACUUUACAUACAUUUCAAAAUCAUAAUUUGUUAACAUAAAAUGCUUGAAUACUUUUCAAAACAAUAUACAUGCAUUUCAAAUUACAUAAAAUGCUUACAAUACUUUUCGAAUCAAGAUACAUUUCAAUGUAUUUUCAUAAUUAAAGCAUAAAUAUAGCUAAUGUCAUAGAGCAUAAAACAUUGUAGCACAAAGACUACUAUUAAUAUAAAUAUAAUUUAGGGUUCAUUUACAUAAACAUAACUAAGGUGUACAUGUCAGAAUAGAAGUUAUAGUAGUAUCAAUGACUACAAUCACUUUAUAUCCUGUAACAAGACUUAAAAUCAUGUUUAACCCCCAUGGUAUAGAUAACAUGUAUCUCUCUAUGUUAGGACUUGGAAGAAACUAGUUUACGAACAUAUAACCAAUCUAUAACCCAUCAUGAUAGGAUUCAGAUCAUAGCCAUACUGACCAGAGACAACUGUUAUGUCAUUGAAAAAUAAUAUAACCAUUACUUUUUAGAAAACUAAGAGUUUAAACAAAUCCUUUUGCAUAUCAUUUCAAAACUAAUACAACCAUAUAUCAUUUGAAACCAACAAUAUUCAAACAUUUUAUCAAUCCUUUUCAAAUAUAAUGCUUAACAAACAUUUUCACAUAAAUUCAGAUAAUAUAAAUCAAUAAAUGCUUAUAAAAUAAUAAUUAUUCAAAUCUUAUGUUUUUUUCAAAUUGUCAACAUAUAAAUUCUUUGCAAUACUUUUGAAUAAUAAAAGAACUUCUAAUUCAUGUAAAUAAUAUGCACUUACAAAUUCUAAACACAUGCAUUAUUACUUUAGAAAAUAGACAAGACGGAGCCUUCAGAUACUUAUUCUAAUCGUAUAUAUUUGAUACAAACAUAUUCUGAUCUUUCCUUUCCUUUUCCUUAUUUAUUCCAAAAUAAUCAUUUUCCCUUCUUUUAUUUCCUUCACAAUAUAAAUAUCAAAUAAUCUAAGAACAUUACAAUUAAUCAAGUUAUAGACCUAUAUACUAAUUUGAUAAAUAAGAAUAUAAUGGAAUUCAAAAACAUACCUAACACAAUUUUUUGGGCUUGAUUUGAAUUUAUUUGAUAUCAAAUCAAAUUCUCAAUAAUUUUUUCUAAUUUUUCUUUUAUUUUUCCCCUUUUUUCUUCUACUUCUUCUUCUCUUUCUCCUCUCAUAUCUUUCUUUUUCCUCCUCUUCUUCUUUUCUUUCUUUCUUCCCUUUCUCUUUUUCUCCUGCUCCUUUCCUCUUCUCUAUUCUCACACCUGCGGCUUCUCCCUAGCUUCUCUCUUCCUUUCCUUUCUCCCUUAUUUUCUUUCUCUUCUUCUUCUCUUCCUUCUUAUCCUCUUUCUUCUUUUUUCAUCUAUGUUUCCCUCUUUCAAUCUCUCCUUUCUUUUCUUCUUUUCUUUCUACUUACAUGAUUUCCUAUUUUUUCCUUCAUCCUUUCCUCGCCUCUUUCUUCUUCUCUUCCUUUCUCCCUUCUUUGUUCUCCUACGAGAUCCCCUCCCUCUUUCCUUUUCUUUCCUCUUUCUUCUUAUCCUUCUUGUUUUCUUCCAAUCCAUUUCUUUUCUUCUUAUCUUUCUUCUUAGUCCUUGUAAUUUUUGUAUUCACAAUUAGGUCCUCGAAUAAAAUUAAGGAUAUUAUAUUAUGUAAUAUUCAUCAUUUUAUCUAAGAGCCUAAUUGUAAAUAUAUAAAGUAUCAGGGUCUAAAAUGCAAAACGUCAUCCACCGCUUCCCAUCGCCUCUCUUCUCGUAACUGCCUCUCUCACGAGUACAAGAGAGGCAGCUGAAGCGUGAGAAAGAGAUAGAAAGAGGCAAGCAAAGGAAAAGAGAAGAAAGGAGAAAGGAAAGAGAGAGAGGAUCUUGGGGAAGGAGAGAAGGGGAAAAGGAGGGAGAGAGGAGAGGAGAGGAAAGGAAGAGAGAAAGAUAGGGAGAGGCCUCGAUUGUGAGAACAAAGGAGAGAAGGAAGAUAAAAAGAAAAGAAGAAGAAGAAGAAGAAGAAGAAGAAGAAGAAGAGAAGAGAGAAAGGAAGAGAAGAAUAGAAAAGGAAGAUAAAACAAAAAAGAGGAGAAGGAAAUUGGCUUUGGCAUAGAGAAGAGAAAGAAAAAAAACAAAGAAAGGGAAUAAAGUAAAAGAGAAAUUAGAGAAAACAUAUUGAGGAUUUGAUUUGAUAUCAGAUGAAUUUAGAUCAAGCCCAAGAAAAUUAUAUUAGGGAAAAUGGUUAUGUGGAUAAAAUAAGAAAAGAAAAUGAAGUAUCAGAAUUGUAUGAUUAUAUCGAGGAUCUACAAUUAGAUUAGUCUCCGAUGACUCCGUCUAAUCUAUUUUCAAAAGUUUUCAUGCAUGUAUUUAGAAUUGAUAAAUGCAUAUGAUUUAUGUGAUUUAGAAACCAUUUUAUUAUUUAAAAGUAUUACAAAAAAUUUAAAUAUUAAAAAUUUAGAAAAGCAUAUCAUUAGAAUAGUUAUUGUUUUAUAUGUAUUUAUUGAUUUAUAUUACUUGAAUUUAUGUGAAAAUAUAUGUUCAAUAUUAUAUUUGAAAAUGAUUGAAAAAUAUAUGAUUAUUGUUGGUUUCAAAUGAGAUAUCAUUUCAUUAGUUUUGAAAUGAUAUGCAAAAAGGUUUAUUGAAGCUCUUAGUUUUGUAAAAAAUAAUUGAUAUAUUAUUUUUCAUAAAAGGGCCCAUUUGACCCCUAAUUGAGUUGGCCCAAUUCCAAUCUAAUUAUGUGCUAACUACGAAUUCUAAGGUAUUCACUAAGCUAAAUAAGUCUGUAAGUCUAGGUUUCUUCCGGCGAUCUUCCGACGAUCUCUUGUCAAUGUUCCAAUGGACUCCCGACAAGCUCUUGGACUUCACGACGAUCUUCUUGGCGAGUUUCGACGGGCUUCUUUGGCAAGCUUUUGGACUUCUCGGUCAAUUCCGGCAGAACUUCCGUUGAAUUCCCAAUGAAAUCUUGUUCUUGACUCCGGAACUUCAUUUUGCUUUAUGUCUUGCUAUCGUAGUUAAUCCAGCAUGCUUAAAACCCACUUCGAUCUAGAAUCAAGUGUUUUCCGGCAUGUCAUUGGUUUAUCGAUGCUUUGUUCGAUUAUUCUGCGCAUCGUCCUCUCUUGCGGCCUAUUGCCCAAUCGGUCAGUUGACCUCUGUAACUCCGAUUUCCUCGGCACAAUUUUCGCUCUUCUUGGCAUGAUGCCCGAACCCAUAGCCCGAAGUCUUUUGUCGAUACGUCGACCGAUCCUUCGGCUCGAUGUCCAAUCUUCUGACAUGUUUUUCUCUGGCUCAACAUGAUUCUUCCUGCUUUAAUUAUCUCUCCCUGAUUUAAAGCUUCCUGCGUUACUCAAAACGCAGACCAAAUCAUAAACGCUAUCAAUUGGUUUCAUCAUCAAAAUCCGAGAUUCAACAAGUAUUCCAAAAAAUUUAAAUAUUAAAAAUUUAGAAAAGCAUAUCAUUAGAAUAGUUAUUGUUUUAUAUGCAUUUAUUGAUUUAUAUUAUCUGAAUUUAUGUGAAAAUAUCUGUUCAAGAUUAUAUUUGAAAAGGAUUGAAAAAUAUAUGAUUAUUGUUGGUUUCAAAUGAGAUAUGAUUUCAUUAGUUUUGAAAUGAUAAACAAAAAGGUUUAUUGAAACUCUUAGUUUUGUAAAAAAAUAAUUGAUAUAUUAUUUUUCAUAAAAUGAUAAAUGAAAAGUUAGUAUGAUUAUGAUUUAGACCUGACAAUGGGGGUUAUACAUUGGUUAUAUGUUUAUAAAGUAAUUUCUUCUAAAGGCCCUAACAUAAGGAGAUAUGUGUUACUUACAUCAUGGGGUUAAAAAUGAUUCUGGACCUUAUCACAAGGAUAUAAUGUGGUUGUAAUCAUUGAUACUACUAUGACUUCUGUUCUGACGUAUAUAGUUUAGCUAUAUUUAUAUUAAUGAUAGUCUUUGCACAAGAACUUUUCAUACUUUGAUAUGUGACAUUAACUAUACUUACUACUUUCAUUAUGAAAAUAUAUUUUAAUAUAUUUUAAUUCAAAAAAUAUUACAAGCAUUUUAUGUGAUUUAAAAUACAUAUAUGUUGUUAUGAAAAGUAUUUAAGCAUUUUAUGUUAAUAAGUUGUGAUUUUGAAAUCAGUGAUUUAAAAAGCGUUAGGCGCCAAAAGGCGCCAAGGUCCAAAAACGCCCGAAGCGCUAGGCGCUUGCCCGGGUGAAGCGAGGCGCUAAAAUAUAAAAAUAUAUAAUAUAAUUAAUAAAAUAAUAUAAAAAUAUAUAAUAUAUAAUAUAAUUAAUAAAAAUUAAUAAUAUUAAAAUUAAAAUAAUAUAUUAUUAAUCUAUUAACAAUAUUCAAAAUUAAUCAUUUCAAAUAAACUUAAUAAUAUUAACAUUUAACAGUAUACAGUAUACGUAUACUGUUAAAAGAAAGUGUAAAGGGGUGCUGAGCCUGCUUACUGAGAAAAGAGGAAGCGGCGAGCGGCAACAACGGCGAGCAGCGGGAGUGGGAGCGGGAACGGCGAGCAGCGGGAGGCGCGAGCGACGACAGCGGCAGCGUUUGCGAGCAGCGACAACGGGAGUAGGAGCAGGAGCAGGAGCGACGAACAGCGGGAGGCGCGAGCGGCGACAGCGGCAGUGUUUGCGAGCAGCGAGAGGCGACAGCGGUAGCGUUUGCGAACGGCGACAGCGGCGAGCGGCGAGCAACGGGAACGGGAUCGGGAUCGGCAGCGGCGAGGGUUAGGGUUCGUUUGUCACUUAUAUCAGUUUUAGUUGGUUCGAUUGAACCAACUAACCAUCAUAGACCGAACCAGACCUAAAAUCCUGGUUCGGUCGCCUUGGUUAACCCAGGCGCUCGCCCGAAGCGCCCAGCGCCUGGGCUCGAGCGAGCGCCCAGGCGACACCUGUUUGAAGCGCGCCGCUUGGGAGAUUAGCGAGGCGCUCGGGCCUCGCCUCGCCUCGCCCGAGCACCUAGGCG
rnacentral:lncRNA from 1 species